rnacentral:rRNA from 1 species
UAGGGAAUCUUGCGCAAUGGGCGAAAGCCUGACGCAGCAACGCCGCGUGGGGGAUGAAUGCCUUCGGGUUGUAAACUCCUUUCAGUGGGAACGAAAUUGACGGUACCCACAGAAGAAGCCCCGGCCAACUACGUGCCAGCAGCCGCGGUGAUACGUAGGGGGCGAGCGUUGUCCGGAUUUAUUGGGCGUAAAGAGCUCGUAGGCGGCUUGGCAAGUCGGGUGUGAAACCCCCAGGCUCAACCUGGGGACGCCACUCGAAACUGCCAUGGCUAGAGUCCGGUAGGGGAUCACGGAAUUCCUGGUGUAGCGGUGAAAUGCGCAGAUAUCAGGAGGAACACCAGUGGCGAAGGCGGUGAUCUGGGCCGGUACUGACGCUGAGGAGCGAAAGCGUGGGGAGCGAACAGGAUUAGAUACCCUGGUAGUCCACGCCGUAAACGUUGGGCACUAGGUGUGGGACCCUAUCGACGGGUUCCGUGCCGCAGCUAACGCAUUAAGUGCCCCGCCUGGGGAGUACGGCCGCAAGGCUA